GUGGGGAAUAUUGGACAAUGGGCGCAAGCCUGAUCCAGCCAUGCCGCGUGAGUGAUGAAGGCCCUAGGGUUGUAAAGCUCUUUCACCGGUGAAGAUAAUGACGGUAACCGGAGAAGAAGCCCCGGCUAACUUCGUGCCAGCAGCCGCGGUAAUACGAAGGGGGCUAGCGUUGUUCGGAAUUACUGGGCGUAAAGCGCACGUAGGCGGGUAUUUAAGUCAGGGGUGAAAUCCCAGAGCUCAACUCUGGAACUGCCUUUGAUACUGGGUACCUAGAGUAUGGAAGAGGUAAGUGGAAUUCCGAGUGUAGAGGUGAAAUUCGUAGAUAUUCGGAGGAACACCAGUGGCGAAGGCGGCUUACUGGUCCAUUACUGACGCUGAGGUGCGAAAGCGUGGGGAGCAAACAGGAUUAGAUACCCCUGUAGUCC
rnacentral:rRNA from 1 species